rnacentral:lncRNA from 1 species
UAUAUUAUUUUGACACACGAUCUCAAACUUAAUUUUUGCAAAAUUCUAGAUCCAAAAUUCAUGGCUUUGUUUGCAUGAGAGCAUAAAACUGUGACUGGCAUGCCUAUGGAGUCGACUCAAUUUUUGAUUGGGUCGACUUGAGUGCUUGGUGAGUUGACUCAUUUUUGUUGGAGUCGACUCAAGAUCCUGGUAGGUCAGCUCAUUUGCUGAUGAGCUGACUCAAUUGUGCAGGCU